rnacentral:rRNA from 1 species
UGGGGAAUAUUGCACAAUGGGCGCAAGCCUGAUGCAGCCAUGCCGCGUGUAUGAAGAAGGCCUUCGGGUUGUAAAGUACUUUCAGCGGGGAGGAAGGGAGUAAAGUUAAUACCUUUGCUCAUUGACGUUACCCGCAGAAGAAGCACCGGCUAACUCCGUGCCAGCAGCCGCGGUAAUACGGAGGGUGCAAGCGUUAAUCGGAAUUACUGGGCGUAAAGCGCACGCAGGCGGUUUGUUAAGUCAGAUGUGAAAUCCCCGGGCUCAACCUGGUAAUUGCAUCUGAUACUGGCAAGCUUGAGUCUCGUAGAGGGGGGUAGAAUUCCAGGUGUAGCGAUGAAAUGCGUAGAGAUCUGGAGGAAUACCGGUGGCGAAGGCGGCCCCCUGGACGAAGACUGACGCUCAGGUGCGAAAGCGUGGGGAGCAAACAGG